CGACUUUGUUUCCGCAGCUAAAUAUGCCAAAAUUAAAGAAAAAAUCACACAUAGGAUGGGGGUUAAUUUUGUUAUAAGUUCAUACGCCUUGGGUUAAUACGGUUAUCGUUAGCAGCUGUUUAAUACAACAAUUCUAAAGUUGCGUGUGUGUGUGUGUGUGUGUACGUGUAUGUGUUUUUGUUUUGGUUUGUGGCUUU